rnacentral:lncRNA from 1 species
AGGCUUACCCUGAUCCUUACAUACUUUGCUUACAAGCCCCUGAUCCUUACAUACUUUGCUUACCUAUAUAAUGUCCUCUUAUUUUUUCUCUCUCUUCACUUCAACUUAUCAGACAAAACAUAACACUCUCUGCCUCACCCUCUCUCCUUGCAAAAAAACCCCUCCCGCGUCUGUCUCUCUCGUCGCGUCUCCCGAUUUCGCGUCUCUCCCGCUGCUCCUUAACCAUCUCAGCACCACCGUCGCUCAUCAUGUAUGAAUCUAGGGUUUAUAUUUUUUUCAAUUUUGUUCAUCUCUCUAAAAAUCUCAUCCCUAACACAAACAAAACAGACCAAACAGAGAUUUGGAUUGGGUUAAUUUUGUAUUAACAACAAUUAUGGAGUGCAUCUUGGUUUAAUUUUUGAUUGUGGUUUCAAUUUCUUUUUUUAAUGGUAUGUGUAAUUUAAUACUCCAUUUGUGGCAAACCUGGGGCUUUUAAUAUCUUGAUUGGUAUGUGGAUCUGCUUUCUUUAUUGACUGGAUAUUUUUUGAGGUCACUUGGCAGCGAAAACUUUGAAUGGUACUACUCUACGACUCUAUCCCAAAUUGUGAGGUCACUUUUUCUGCACAUAUUUUUUGAAUGGGACAAUAUUUAGGUGGAUAAGAGUAGAUAUGAAUGAUUCGAUUAUCAAUGGUAAGUCUGUAUGAUAAGUUAUAUUACUUGGAAUGCUAUGAUGACUGCAUUCAUUCAUAAUGGGUAUUUCAGAAAGGGAAUCGAACUGUUCCGGAAAAUAUUAGCAAAAAUUUUAAUUUGACAAAAAACUGGAAUUGGGUGUUCUCAAGUUGUUCAAUCUUCUAUUUUUUACAUGUAUUCUAUAUGUGGGACUCAUGAAAAUUCUGUUAUUUCAUUUUGUGAAGUCCCUAAUAAGGAUCUCCUGUCAUGGACAUCAUUUAUUACUAAGUUCUGCUGUUAAUGAACUUGAGUGAAAUAUUUAUAUUGCAUAUAUGUUAUUAGUUGCAUUGUGUUUAGUCUACUAUUAGCCAUAUGAACUGCAUUUCAAUUCUUCUAUGUGCAACUUUUCUAUUUCAAUUCUUUAUCGUUAGGUAGUAAUUUUUGUGAAUUGUUUAUCUUCAUCCUAUGCUUUUUUUAAUUCAGUAACAUAACAGCGAGAAAAUCAACUAAAAUCAAUUAGUCCAUGUUCCUAGCCUCUUAAUUUGCAAGGAUGAUUUCUUGUUUUGUAUGAGCUGCUAUAAAUGCACAUUGUGAUUGUGAGAGGCGACCUUAACUUAAAACAACAUGGACCGAUUCAAACCCUGUCCGAAUUAUGGAAAAGUAAGUGUGUUAGGGUUUCAAUUUUUUUAUAUAUCUCUUUCAUUCUAUUUACUUGCACAUAAAAUUGAAAUCUUCUUUGUUUACAGAGGAAUGCUUGUCAAUUUUUUGCGUGGUAUGAUCCUCCAAUGAUCCCUGGAUUACUUCGAAAGAUUAACGGAAUAGAGCAAGAGAUGGAGAAAAUGCGUGCAAUAGGAAAAAUGCGAAGAAUAAAAUUUAUUACUGCACUUGUCGGUUCUUGGUUAUUGAUUUUAAUCAUGUUAUUGUAGAUGGAGUAAAUAUUGUCAUUUGGGU